rnacentral:lncRNA from 1 species
AUGUAAGAGGGAAGAUAAAAUCAAAUGGUAGGCGAAGAAAGGUUUCAAGAAGACGACGAGGAUGGCGUUAAGAAUGACGUGGAUUAACCGAAGACGAAAGAAGUUAAAGAAGUUCUCAGUGAGGUGACAAGAGAUGAUUGGUGGAGAAGUAUCCGGUGAGAUGGAAAGCGAUGAUUGGUGGAGAAGAGAAGAAGACGAAGAAAAGGAUUACGUGGACUAACAAGAAGGCUAUAAAAGGGCGAGGAAGGGCGAGACAGAGGGGGAAGAAGAAAGCAGCGGAGACUCGGCGGGUCAGGGACGGUUCGACCGGAAGAGAGCGACGCCGGCUACUGCUCCGGUGCGCUCGUGAUCUACGGCUUUGCACCGCAGACUUCCUGCCGUUCCUGAGCCCGUUCCGGGGAGUCCACGGAGGACGCUACCACCUGCUACGGCCAGGGGCGUCUCUACCGCUGUUGGCACCCUUCCGGGUGGUGCCCCACCGCCAACAUCAUCGGCCACACCUCCACGGGCGUUUGGACCGGGAGUGUGUACGACGCAACCAACGACGCCUCCAGCGACGCCAGCCCUAGAACGUCGAACGCCACUCCGACGUCGGCUACGGGACCCGCACCACACCACAUCCGCAUCGAACCAGACGUGAGCACGAACGCCAACCACUAUCAGUAGAACGCUAGUGUAGUGUUACUGGGACGUGUGUACUGACAGUCUUUGUAUCUUGUGUGUUAGGUUUGUGUGCUGCUGUUCGUGCCGCGUGGGUUGUAUUAAAUGUGCAUCUGUGUGGGUA